UACGUAGGGUGCAAGCGUUAAUCGGAAUUACUGGGCGUAAAGCGUGCGCAGGCGGCUUUGCAAGACAGAUGUGAAAUCCCCGGGCUUAACCUGGGAACUGCAUUUGUGACUGCAUGGCUGGAGUGCGGCAGAGGGGGAUGGAAUUCCGCGUGUAGCAGUGAAAUGCGUAGAUAUCUGGAGGAACACCGGUGGCGAAGGCGGCAUCCUGGACCGGCAUUAACGCUGAGGCGCGAAAGCGUGGGGAGCGAACAGG
rnacentral:rRNA from 1 species